AAUAAAUACAGCCAUAAUUUUUCACGUUCAAUUUUGAUCGUUCGUCUUAUUUAAAUUUUUCUUAAAAAAAUUUAAAACAUAAGUCACGAGCAAAGUACUAUUUAUAUUUUAUCAUUUCAUAACAACAAAAAUGUUAAUUAUAAAAAAAUUCAAAUAAAACGGAUGGUUAAAGUUAGGUGUGAAAACUCAUGGCUGUAUUUAUU
rnacentral:pre_miRNA from 1 species